rnacentral:lncRNA from 10 species
AGGAAUGCUGCAUGGCCUACCCAUAGCGGCGGUGGGAGCCUCCGCCGGGGAGAGCCCGCUCGGGGGCAGGAAGUGGCCCGGCCCUCCUCGUGGAGGGCGUUUCCGGAGCGCCUACUGUGCUCCUUGCCGGGGUGGGGGUCGUUACCGAGUGGGAACUUCUGCAAAUCCUGACUUUUGUCACUUCGCGCCCCGCACAAGAUGUCCUGCCGGCGGUGCGAUUGGUCCCGUUGCUUCGAGGGGAAACUGAGGCCACUUAGUCCGGGCACUUACCCGCAGCUAGUUAAGGACUAGGCUCUGAUGGAGACGCUUGUUACGACCUCAAUGGCCUGUAGAAUCUGGGAGGCCGCCUCCGACCUAAGCCCAAAAAGCACAUGAUCGGGCUCACAGGGGGCGGCCAGAGGUGAAAACAGCCAACGCUUUACAACGACGCUGUGCGGGGCACUUCGUGUGUGUCAUCCCGUCUCAUCCUCGGGUGAUAGGAACUGUUCAUUCGGGAAAAUUGCAAACAACUAAAUACCCCUCACCAGGAGCUGGCCCAUUAUAGCAACUCUGAGACCUCUCUACCGCAGGCUCUUAAAAUGGGAGUUUCGCUCUUGUUGCCCAGGCUAGAGUGCAGUGGCGAGAUCUCGGCUCACUACAACCUCCGCCUGCCAGGUUCAAGUGAUUCU